rnacentral:rRNA from 1 species
AGAACGAACGCUGGCGGCAUGCCUAACACAUGCAAGUCGAACGAGACCUUCGGGUCUAGUGGCGCACGGGUGCGUAACGCGUGGGAAUCUACCCUUGGGUUCGGAAUAACAGUUGGAAACGACUGCUAAUACCGGAUGAUGACGUAAGUCCAAAGAUUUAUCGCCCAGGGAUGAGCCCGCGUAGGAUUAGCUAGUUGGUGAGGUAAAGCUCACCAAGGCGACGAUCCUUAGCUGGUCUGAGAGGAUGAUCAGCCACACUGGGACUGAGACACGGCCCAGACCUCCGUACGGGAGGCAGCGAGGUGGGGAAUUAGUUGGAAC